rnacentral:rRNA from 1 species
GAUUAACGCUGGCGGCGUGCAUAAACAUGCAAGUCGAGCGCGGUGCGACUUCGGUCGCAUCUAGCGGCGCACGGGUGAGUAACACGUGAGCAACCUACCUUGGAGUCCGGGAUAGCCCUGAGAAAUCAGGAUUAAUACCGGAUGAUGUCAUCACCAGGCAUCUGGAGAUGAGAAAAGGCGCAAGCCGUUCCAAGACGGGCUCGCGGCCUAUAGCUAGUUGGUGGGAACGGCCGUACCAAGGCGGAGAUGGUAGCUGGUCUGAGAGGACGAUCAGCCACACUGGGACUGAGACACGGCCCA